GAUGAACGCUGGCGGCGUGCCUAAUACAUGCAAGUCGAGCGAACAGACGAGGAGCUUGCUCCUCUGACGUUAGCGGCGGACGGGUGAGUAACACGUGGAUAACCUACCUAUAAGACUGGGAUAACUUCGGGAAACCGGAGCUAAUACCGGAUAAUAUAUUGAACCGCAUGGUUCAAUAGUGAAAGACGGUUUUGCUGUCGCUUAUAGAUGGAUCCGCGCCGCAUUAGCUAGUUGGUAAGGUAACGGCUUACCAAGGCAACGAUGCGUAGCCGACCUGAGAGGGUGAUCGGCCACACUGGAACUGAGACACGAUCCAGACUCCUACGGGAGGCAGCAGUAGGGAAUCUUCCGCAAUGGGCGAAAGCCUGACGGAGCAACGCCGCGUGAGUGAUGAAGGUCUUCGGAUCGUAAAACUCUGUUAUUAGGGAAGAACAAAUGUGUAAGUAACUAUGCACGUCUUGACGGUACCUAAUCAGAAAGCCACGGCUAACUACGUG
rnacentral:rRNA from 1 species